UGUUUCUUCCAUGAAUUAAUUGUAGGA
rnacentral:piRNA from 1 species